rnacentral:rRNA from 1 species
AUUUAAUAUCUUGCCACUGGACUGAGUGUGCUCAAUGUCAUCAGACCUCAGAAUCCACGUGGGGUUGAGCCUGGCUAGUACUUGGAUAGGACACUGUCUAGAAAUACCAGGUGUUGUAGGUU